rnacentral:rRNA from 1 species
GGAAACAUGCAGAAAUGUGUGCCCCGCAAGGUCGGUAUACAGGUGGUGCAUGGUUGUCGUCAGCUCGUGUCGUGAGAUGUUGGGUUAAGUCCCGCAACGAGCGCAACCCUCGUUCUAUGUUGCCAGCACGUAAUGGUGGGAACUCAUAGGAGACUGCCGGGGUCAACUCGGAGGAAGGUGGGGAUGACGUCAAAUCAUCAUGCCCCUUAUGUCUUGGGCUUCACGCAUGCUACAAUGGCCGGUACAAAGGGCUGCGAUACCGUAAGGUGGAGCGAAUCCCAAAAAGCCGGUCUCAGUUCGGAUUGAGGUCUGCAACUCGACCUCAUGAAGUCGGAGUCGCUAGUAAUCGCAGAUCAGCAACGCUGCGGUGAAUACGUUCCCGGGCCUUGUACACACCGCCCGUCAAGUCAUGAAAGUCGGUAACACCCGAAGCCAGUGGCCUAACCGCAAGGGAGGAGCUGUCGAAGGUGGGAUCGGUGAUUAGGACUAAGUCGUAACAAGGUAGCCGUACCGGAAGGUGCGGCUGGAUCACCUCCUUU